AUUGAACGCUAGCGGGAUGCCUUACACAUGCAAGUCGAACGGCGUGGCGCACGGGUGAGUAAUAUAUCGGAACGUGCCCAGUAGCGGGGGAUAAAUACUCGAAAGAGUCGCUAAUACCGCAUAAUAUUGUAGCGGCCGAUAUGGGAUUAGCUAGUUGGUGGGGUCAAGGCUCACCAAGGCAACGAUCCGUAGCUGGUUUGAGAGGACGACCAGCCACACUGGGACUGAGACACGGCCCAGACUCCUACGGGAGGCAGCAGUGGGGAAUAUUGGACAAUGGGGGAAACCCUGAUCCAGCCAUCCCGCGUGUAUGAUGAAGGCCUUCGGGUUGUAAAGUACUUUUGGCAGAGAAGCGGUAUCUGCAGAAUAAGCACCGGCUAACUACGUGCCAGCAGCCGCGGUAAUAC
rnacentral:rRNA from 1 species